CAGAGUACGCAAAAAAUCAAUU
rnacentral:miRNA from 1 species